ensembl:lncRNA
GCUUUGUGGGAACUAUGGUGUUGAACGCUGAGCUGUAGUCAAUGAACAGCAUUCCCACAUAGGUGUUCCUUUUGUCCAAGUGGGAAAGGGCAGUGUGGAGUGUGAUUGAGAUUGCGUCAUCUGUGGAUCUGUUGGGGCGGUAUGUGAAUUGUAGUGGGUCUAGGGUUUCCGGGAUGAUGAUGUUGAUGUGAGCCAUAUCCUGUUCAAAGGCACUUAAAUAUUUUGUCUUGCCCAUUCACCCUCAGAUUUGCACACAUACACAAUCCUUGUCUCAAUUGUCUUAAAAAAAACAUUUUUCCUCCCUUUCAUCUACACUGAUUGAAUUGUACUGUAUUUAACAAGUGACAUCAAUAAGGGAUCAAAGCAUUCACCUGGUCAGUCUAUGUCAUGGAAAGAGCAGGUGUUCUUAAUGUUUUGUUCACAGUGUAUAUGACUGAGACAUUAUUCUGAUUGUUCAGAUGCCAUGUCCUCCGCAACAUUUGCCCACACUUGCUGCAUGAGCCUGGUUUUUGCUCUCUGUGGUUUUCCUGUGCACAUGCUCCACAUCUACUUCUCCAUUCAAACACUCCCACUGUCUCUGUCACAUACACCCUACCUUGUGAAAUCAUACUUACAGUCUGAAACACUCUGUAUAAUUACAAUGUUCAUCCCUGAUAUGGCAGCUGGUUGUCUGUUUUUGGUCAUCGUCCUUCUAUAUACCUUUCAAUACAUCAAAGCCCAAGUUCAGAAACCAGUGAUUAGUACCAGUCAUAAUGAGGAGGAUUUCAUCAUCACCUGUUUGAUUCCUGGAAUUGCUGGUAACGACACCUGCUGUAACCUGUAUAUUGGAGAGAAGAAUAAGCCAUUCUUGAAAACACGGAUAUGGAAAAAGAAAACCCAAAAAACCAAGCAAUGGUACUGUACAUUCUCUGUGACCGAAGACGAUCUGAUCAGACAUCUACAGUCAGUGAGGAGUAAGGCGGUGAGCUGUGACUACAGAGUGAACUCAGGAACAAACUCUCUCUCUCCACGUAGUGAUGGAUACAGCUUUACAGAUCUGGUGGAAGUUCACAUCAGUGAUCCAACAACUAUUACAGCAGGAUUGACCUCUCCUUUGACCCCCAGCACAGCAGUGAAUCCUACGUCAGGUUGGACUGUUCUUUCUACUUUGACCACUGACACCGCAAAGAUUUCAACUGAAGGAGGUCAAAGCUACACAGAAAGUGAGGUUUUUUCAAACAGUCAAGAAAGCGUUCCAGCAUGUUCAACUGUUGCUUCUACUUUGACCCUUGACAUCACAGUGAGACCAACUACCAGUUUGACCUCUCCUUUGACCUCCAGCACAGCAGUGACUACUACAUCAGGUUCGACUGUUCGUUCAACUUUGACUACUGACACCACACUAAGUCCAACGGAAGGAAAAGGCUCCACAGAAAGUAUUCUGUCGGGGCAGGUUUGGCAGGCAGCAGUGGCUGUGGUUUCUGGAGUGGGUGUGUUCCUGGUGGGAUUGACUGCUUUCUGUCUCUGCAGGAGCACCAAGAAAAACAAUUCUCAGAGACCUACAGCCAGACAGGAUGAUGACAACCAAUAUGAUUUGGUGUUGGGAGCCAUGAGCAGUGCAGCCAUGAUGGAUUCUGGGGAAGCUGGGAUAUACAGUCUGAUCACCUCUGUACCAGCCACGUUUUUGCCCUCAGGUCCUGUGCAGGUAUCUGCACAUGAAGAUGUCGAUUCAGGGAAUACAGGGAUCUAUAGGCUGAUCACUGCACCACGCACAUCUAUACCUUCAGGUUGGUCCCAAUACCAAAUCAUUGGAUUCAUAAUACAGUGGGGCAAAAAAGUAUUUAGUCAGCCACCAUUUGUGCAAAUAAAUUCAUUAAAAAUCCUACAAUGUGAUUUUCUGUUUUUUUUUCUCAUUUUGUCUGUCAUAGUUGAAGUGUACCUAUGA